UUUUACCGAGUGGCGGACGGGUGAGUAACGCGUGGGUAACCUGCCUCAUACAGGGGGAUAACGAUUGGAAACGGCUGCUAAUACCGCAUAAGCGCACAGUACCGCAUGGUACGGUGUGAAAAACUCCGGUGGUAUGAGAUGGACCCGCGUCUGAUUAGGUAGUUGGUGGGGUAACGGCCUACCAAGCCGACGAUCAGUAGCCGACCUGAGAGGGUGACCGGCCACAUUGGGACUGAGACACGGCCCAA
rnacentral:rRNA from 1 species